UAAAAAACGAGUAUUUUAAUUAUUUUUUAGGGAUAAUGCAUUUGUUACGGUCGGCGGGAAUAAAAAAGCAUGAAAAGUGAAUUUUAUUUUUAUUCUGGAAAUCGACAAAAUCGGAUCGGCGGAUCCGUAAACCAACAAAUUAAAAAAUUCUGGCCUUAAUUGAUUGCCCAGUUGAAUGGUUGAUGUUAAGAAACCUCCCACAUUCAAGAAGUACAUGUUUGCUUUUAAAAGGAAAUAGUUUUAUAGCACAACAACAUGUUUUAUUGACACUGAUUGGGUUGCUUAUACAUGUACAUAAUAUAUCUUGCUUGCAAUGAGCAGGUGUUGACAUGAUAAUAGGAAUAUUCAUGAAACAUUUGUAGCCUGCUUUGUACUGUUUUAAUAGCUUGCUUAAGUGUUUAAGUGUUGAAGACUGUACUUAGAUCUAUAUUGGUUUACUUUUAUCAAUUGUGACUUGGAUGGAAUGUUUCAUUAGCACUCAUACCACAUCUUCUUACACAAAUAUUAUAUGCUAAGUAUGGUUUUAAUGUGAUUAUUUCCAUGGUGCUUUAAUCUCAUUUCAAGCCAACUAGACUUUGCUUUGACUCAUUAACCCUUGGAAUUGUUUUAGUUCAUACAUGUAAAGUAGACUAGCAUUUUAUGUCAAAUAAACAGCUGCCCAAUGAACGCAUAAUACGCCCAUCACGUUUGAAAGCAUAAAAUUCAAUAACUUCUCAAUUGAUGUGAUAUCAGAAAUUUAGGGGAAAAAGGUAUACCAACACCCAGUAAACUGGGCCUCAUCGGCAGCUGUCUGACGCUUGAAUCCUGGUAAAAAGGGAUUUUUCUUGAAAGUUGUUAGUGGAGAAGCAGCAAAUACCAAUUAUAAAGAUGUGGUUUGACCUAACCCUGGUUCUAAUCAAUGACCUCAAGCAGUAAAGGCUAACAGUCUAUUGACAUACAUUGUUUUGUAAGGCCAAAAAAAUUAUAUAUGUGUGGUUCCAGUUACAUCCUUAUCAAAAUAGGAUUGAGAGCUAGGUCAACAAUUUUUUUCUUCUAAAUUUUUAAUUUGGGUUGUCAAAAUCCGGGAAUAAAAUCUGGCAGAAAUUGAUUCCAGCAAUACUGUUUUAUACACGCCCCUACUGGAAAUUAGCCAUUUUAUAGGAGUUGGGUUGUAAAAUAAACAUUCAUGAUAAGUUUUUAGUUACUUUCAUUGCAUUCUGUUAUGAAUUGUUGCAUUUUAGCCAUAACAGAUACUUCUGAUGGCCAAUCAAAUUCAGAUGACAGAAAUCUACAUAUCUAAUUAUUGAAAUACACAUGUACAAUCCUCAAAAUUUGAGAGAAAUGAAAAUAAAUUGUUCUUGUAGAGUCAGGGUUUAAACUAAGGUCGGUCGGGUAACUGGAACCAAACAUAUAUAAUUUUCUUUUGCUGUAUUUAUGGUAUAAAUAUUCUUUUUUUGACAAAAUGUCUUAAAAAUAUGUUCAACAGACUUUUUCCCUCAGAAUCUAUGUUGCAGAAAGUAUUGUUGAACCAUACAAAACUUUUCAUAUGGACUUCAAUUAUCUGCAUAGAGCAUUUAAGGUUGUUCAGAAUUUAAAUGGUAUAUAUUUGUGUGAGGGCACUAAUAAAAAAACCAAAAUUAAAAGUCAACAAACAUUUAAUGUACACAUAUGCUAUAAAGUAUCUUCCAAUCCUGAAAUACAAACUUCAAUUUUAAAUUUUAUUACAUUUCAAUGGCUAUGAAGAACUGAAUCCACUUAAAAACACCUUUGGCCAAGAAAAAAAGUUUGUGUGUUUACUCUUCCCCUACCUACCCUAAUUUUUAUCCCCUAUCCUAUUUUUUUUUGCCAAUUUUGAUUAAGCACUGUUAAAGUUAUAAUGUUGCUCCAAAGACCAACAGACUCAAUGUAAAAAAAAUCCUGCCUUACCCUUUUUUUCUGCAUGUGACAGUAAACACACAUACAUACUUUUUUGUUUGGCCGUAUGUUAAGUUUCAAAAUAAACUAAAAUGGGGUAAAGAUUUUUUUUUUAAUUUAUAGAAUAUUUCUUUGAAGCAAUGAAAUUUGCUUUAGGCUUGGCAAAAUUUAGAAAUAAAUUUAUUAGUACAAAAUGUACUUUUGAUGAACGGGAGCAUGACACUACAUUGAAACUUCCAAAAUGAUCAGAUCAUAUCAAAAUUAGCUCAGGCAUGGCACUGUAUACAACAUAACCUCACUUAUAACGACAUGGGAUUUUGGAUACAUUGUACAUCACUUUUGUGUUAAAAUAAAUAUGGUUUUAUUUGUAAUGCUGUCAGUGUUGUGCAUAUGCCAUAGUUUAAUAAUUUUCUGCAAGUGUAGUCUUUGUUUAUGAUAAAAAUACAUUCUGGGUAAUCAAUUGAGUAGAUUGGUGUUAUAUGGACGAGUUAAAUGAUGUAAAGGACAUUGGAUACAAUGUAUAUCUGUUUGGGUAUGUGACUAUGUGUAUAACUUUGAAACUUCAUAAAGGACAAGCUAUAAGGUUACAAGAGCGCAAUUAUUUGUUUACAUUUUGCCGGCAAGUUUUUAACCCCAACAAUGGUACUAAAUAGAAUCCUCCGGCUUCUAUUGGUUGAUACAGGAUUGGAAUUACAUUUAAUCAAGACGCUUAUCAAAUUAGGUUUAAAAAUUGCCGAAAAU
rnacentral:lncRNA from 1 species